AAAAGUACCAGCUCUGACUUCGUCCUUGGAGGAGGCCCGGCUAACUGGCUGUCGACCCUUCCCUUACCUUCUCUUUAGGGGCUGCUCUGCAUGUUGCAAUAUUUCCUGUGGUUCACUAUGAAGCUUUAAAGAGGAGAUCAUCGGCUGGCAGUCAAUAUGGUACCGAGUUCUUCUUUCCGUCAAGGCGAGCAUGAAAGGCCUAUAGUUGCCAAGCCUAUUCCUGGUCCAUUCGGCAUUGGUCCUAGUCCCCGCUAUUUCCUAGUUUUGUUGCAAAUUUCCUCCAUUUUCCUCUGAGCUCGAAAGCAUGGGAGAAUUAUGAAAUGAGUGGGGUACUUAAGUGCUCCUUGUAAUGUUGUUUUCCUUUUUCCAUGCUUAGUUGAGUUUUGCAGAUCUCCUUUGAUGGUGGCAGUAAGUUGUUGAUGAAGAGUAGAUGAAGUCGGCUGAGAAUAAUGAUGGAAUCGGGUCAUAUCCUACUAAGUCCUAGGGUUUCAUAUCUUUUAAGGUUUGAGUUUGGGUUAAAGUUUUGUAACACUAUUAUCUCUUGUGGGCUUAGGACUUGUGCUCAUA
rnacentral:misc_RNA from 1 species